AGCAGCCGCGGUAAUUCCAGCUCCAAUAGCGUAUAUUAAAGUUGUUGCAGUUAAAAAGCUCGUAGUUGAAUUUCGGGGUCAGUAGAUUGGUCGUGCCACUGGUAUGUACUGGUCUUACUGGCUCCUCCUUCCUGAUGAACCGUAAUGCCAUUAAUUUGGUGUUGCGGGGAGACUGGACUGUUACUUUGAAAGAAUUAGAGUGUUUAAAGCAGGCUAACGCUUGAAUACAUUAGCAUGGAAUAAUGAAAUAGGACGUUCGAUCUUAUUUUGUUGGUUUCUAGGAUUGACGUAAUGAUUAAUAGGGAUAGUUGGGGGCAUUAGUAUUCAAUUGUCAGAGGUGAAAUUCUUGGAUUUAU
rnacentral:rRNA from 1 species